UACGGAGGGUGCGAGCGUUGUCCGGAAUUAUUGGGCGUAAAGAGCUCGUAGGCGGCUUGUCACGUCGGAUGUGAAAGCCCGGGGCUUAACCUCGGGCGUGCAGGCGAUACGGGCAAUACUUGAGUGCUGUAGGGGAGACUGGAAUUCCUGGUGUAGCGGUGAAAUGCGCAGAUAUCAGGAGGAACACCAAUGGCGAAGGCAGGUCUCUGGGUAGUUACUGACGCUGAGGAGCGAAAGCAUGGGUAGCGAACAGGAUUAGA
rnacentral:rRNA from 1 species